rnacentral:rRNA from 1 species
AGUGAACGCUGGCGGCGUGCCUAAUACAUGCAAGUCGAACGGAGCGGCGCGCGGGCGAGUAAUAUAUAGCUAAUCUGCCCUCCAAAGAGGAACAAUAGUUGGAAAAGGCUGUUAAUACCUCAUAGUGUGGGCUGAGACUAUAUCGUAUCAGCUAGUUGGUAAGGUAAUGGCUUACCAAGGCUAUGACGCGUAACUGGUCUGCGAGGAUGAUCAGUCGCAUUGUAACUGAGGCACGGUCCGGGCACCUACGGGAAGCGGCAGUAGGGAAUAUUGCGCAAUGGGGGAGACCCUGACGCAGCAACGCCGCGUAAAGUAUGACACGUUUCGAGGCGUGAACUCCUUUUAUCAGGCAAGCGGUACCUGCUGAAGAAGCACCGGCUAACUCCGUGCCAGCAGCCGCGGUAAUUC